GGCUUGAACAUUCCUUCCAUCUUGGCCUCCCAAAGUGCUAGGAUUAUAGGCAUGAGCCACCACACCCAGCCUUGAAAAGUGUUUUUGGUAAUCAAAAGCAACUUUGAGUCUUUUAUAUAUUGGGAUUCCAUGUAAGAUUUCAUUAGAAAAGUGUUGCGGUUUUAUUUUCUUUAAAAGUUUAAAAACCACUGAUAUAGCUGAUGAGGUUCCACUGCUGGGAUUUAUGCUGGACUCAUUGGGGGGGGGGGUGGCGCUGUCACAUAAUUUAGUUUGCAUUUCUUAAUAAAAGCACUCUGGCUGGUGGGGAAAGGAAGAAUGAAAGGUGGGCAGUGCAAGAGAGCCCAGGGAGGAGGCUGUUUGUAGUCACUGAGGGAAGAGAAAUCUCAUACUGUCUACUUACCUUAGCCUCAUCCAAGCUACAGUCAUCUCAUGGAAACUGAGUAGCUUCUUAACUAAUUUCUGUACUUUACUCCAAAUCGCUGGAACCUGUCCCUUGCCUACUCACAACCUUUCAGUGGCUUCCCAUGGCUUUUAGGAUUGGGUCCAAAAUGCUUGCAUGGUUGUCCAGGUCCGAGGGGUCUGCUUGUACUCACCACCCAACCCCCUCCUCCUUCUCCAGCCUCCAUCCUUCUUUUUGACUUCAAGCAUGUCUGGGCCACUUUCCAACCCAGGCCUUUGCACAAGCUAGUACCUUCACCUGGAGUCUCUUGUACCUGCUUUCUGUCUGUCCAACUACCUCCCAUUCUCAGAUCAGUGUUGCUUUUCUAAAGAGGCUUUCCUUGACCACCCAACAAUCCACAGUGGGGUUCUUCCAUUUUCUUUCUCAUAACAUCCUGUGCUUUUCCUCUGUAGCUCUAAGUAUCACCUGUAAUCAUCUAUUUAUUUGUUUUAUAUCUGUCUGCCCCAUUCACCACUGAAUCCAGGAUCCAUCGAUGAGUAGCUGCUCAAUAAAAAUUUAUUGAGUGAGUUCCUUGAUAAGUUAAACCUGGAAUUGUCACGUGACCCAGCAAUUCCUCAUCUAGGUAUGUACCCAAAAGAAUGUAAAACAGAUACUCAAAAACUCAUACAGGAACGUUCAUGGCAGCACCAUGUGCAAUAGCCAAAAGGUGGAGAGAACCCAAUGUCCUUCAGCUGAUAAAUGGAUAAACAAGAUGUGGUUAGCAAUGGGAUAUUAUUCAUGAGUAAAAAGGAACAAAGUACUGAUAACGUGGUACAACAUGGGUGAAUCUUGGAAAUACUAUGCUAGACAUAACAACACCAGGCACAGAGGCUGCAUGAUUCCUUUAUAUGAAGAGUCCAGAAUAGGCAAGUCUGCAGAGACAGUGGAUUAGUGGUUGCCAGGGACAGAGGGGAGAGACUACUCUAUAAUGGAUACAGAGCUUCCUCUUGGGAUGACAAAAAAUUUCUGGAAAUAGAUAGUGGCUAUGAUUGGACAAUAUUGUGACUGUUCUUAUUAUCACUAAUGGUAAAAUUUUAUGUUGUACAUAUUUUGCCACCAUUUCUAAAAAUCCAAAAGAAAAAUUUAUUGAGGGGAUUCAUAAAUGAAUUCUUCCAGCUCUGCGUGAGCCCAUUGUGUGCAUUGUGCUCCAUGGGCCAUGUCAGGCAGCCACUUGAAAUUCAACUUGGGACUUUUCACACAAUUCUGCAAUUCUAUUAUGAUCGCAGCUUCCAAACCCACCUGGGUCCCCUACCUCAAACGCUGGGUGAUUGGGAUGAAGCUCUCCCCACCCCGACCCACCACACCCCUGCCGCAGCAUACCUGAUGUCCAGGUCCGGGUUACAGUAGUGGCAGUAGCACUUGGGAGAUAGACAAGGAAGCAAACCGGGAAAAGAGAAAACAGCAGAGAAACAGCACCAUCCCCAGAGCUGGGGUUUCUGAAACCCAGCACCUCUGGCAUUUCAACCAGCACCAUUCUUUGUUAUGCUGAGCUGUCCUGGGCAAUGCAGGAUGUUGAGCAGCAUCCCUGGACUUGACCCCCUGGGUGCCAGCGUCACUUCCUCUUGGUGUGACAGCCACACAAGGCUUCGGACCCUACUGAGGGUCCCUGGGGUGGCAAAGUCACCCAUGUUUGAGAAUCACCAGUCUACCAAGGGCUCAAGUCAGAGUCUGGGGCCCAUCUCCUAGGUUUGUCCAUUUCCUCUGUCCCUCACACCCAAUUCAUCAGUAGUUCUGCUGUAGAACCACUCACCGCACAACUGUCAUCCGUACCAGCCACCCAGUCCCCACCAUGUGGACACCCCUCCUAAUCUGCUUCCACCCACUCCCCACACGCAGCACCCAGAGUUACCCUUUCGCAACUCAAAUUGGAGGUCGCUGAGGCUUUCUGUCAAACUUGGAAUAAAAGCAUCCUUGCUGUGGUCUACAAGAACCCCACGUGACUGGACUCUCAGAUCACACUGAUUCUCCUGGGGUCCCCCAGGGUGCAAGCUGUUCCUACCUUAGGGCCUAUGGUGCACGUUUGCUUUGCUUCUGGCAGCUGUUGUCCCCAGGCAUUCCCACAGCAGGACCCUCCUCCUCCUCUCUCCAUCCAAACAUGCCUGCCCAGGGAAAGCCGCCCGGCUGCGUGCUCUGUGAUGUCACCCUGAGUUCAUUUAGUGGAGCUUGCUGCUCGUGUCCUCCUGGUCCCCCUGUACUUACUGUGUGUGCCCUGUGAGCUCAGGGGCCCUGUGGUUUUGUCCUCUGCAUCCCCAGCAUCUGGCACAGGGCCGCUACCCCACAGGAAUGGUUGAGGAGUGAGUGAGUGCAUGGAUGAGUGGAUGGCAACUUGCCAGGUCCAACACUGUGCCCUGCUGUCUUCUCCAACGCUUUGCACGUCGUGUUCCCGCCUCCUGGAAGGCUUUCCCCUUGCCCCCUUCAACUGGCCAAUCCCAUUCAUCCUUAAGACAUAGGGGAGCUGUCUCCUUCAGGAAGCCCACCCUUCCCUUGAGAGCCCACCUCCCGCUAGCACGCCGCCAGAGGGGCCUAUGAAACGCCACCCUCGCCUGGCAGCCCGGCUCGCUCUCCUGCCUGUCUCCCUAACAGGACUAGGACCUGCUUGAAGCCAGCUCGGCCAUCGUAGUCCCCAGCAAUCAGUAGAAGACUUGGUCCUUACGAACCUCCCUUAUGGCGGGUGGGGGGUGCACAGACACUGAGAACAGAUGAGUGGAAUCCUUUAUGGGAAACUUGGGCUCUUGGUACGGAAGGGAGGGGUUUUCUCCCAGCCUGGGGGUGGGGGAGAGGAGAGAGGUUGUUGACAGAAGGGGUCUCCUCUCCUGCCUUUUGUACUUGGCACUUCCUAGGCCCCCUCCUUGCCUCUGUCUCCUCCUCCCCCUGCCCUUCUAAUCCCCCCUCUCACCCCCUCCCUCUGCAGCACACGGGGUCCCUGGCGCUGGCCCCUUCUUACCCAGUCCCCCUUGUUGUAGGAGGUGAACAGGAAGGUCAUCACCAUGUAGGCACAUUUCAAAAAGUUCCAUCCAUUCUUCCUCUUGGGAAGCAGUUUCUUGGGUGGGCUGGUGGCCAGGGCAGGCUUAACUGCAGAGGACAAGGGUGGUGACUCAGGCAGGCGGCCUUCACUUCUCCCCAAGAAGUUCCUGCCGUUUCUGAAUCUCCAUUCUGAGCUCCAAACCCACAUCUGCACCUGCCCCCUGGGCUGAAAUCUUGAUCCACAUCCAUGGUUGUUGGGGCUUCCUCAUUUGGUUUCCACCCUGUAUCCUGGACAAACAGUUGGGAAUCUUUCCUGCUCUCCCACACCUGCCUAGAUUUCUCACCAGACCCCCUGUCCCCUCGAUCCCCAGCUGGUGGCUCUCCUGAUGACUGCAUCUGCCUCCUGUGUCAGGCUUCCUCUUUCUCCACCCAUCUUCCACAUGGCUGCUAGAAGGAUCUUUCUAGUACCCAAAUCAGACCGCUUCACUUUGUUAUUUUCAAUCCUCAUGUGAUGUACAAAGGUUGUUUUUACUUACUCAACAUUUUUUCCCUUGUCUUUUUGUUUUAAAAGUAUUACAUUCCAGAAAAUUCAAAAUUUUACAGGUAAACAUACCUACUAAACAGGUCCCAAAUCCAAAAAUGAAACAUUAUCAGUGUAAAGGUAAAUACAAGUGGAAAAACAAAUUUCUCCCUGCCGAAAAUUCAGGAAGAGACGACUCCUUGUCCUUUGUUCUCAGAGGAUUUAUUUUAGAAAAUGUGUUAUUGUUAAGUCUCUGUUUCUUUGAAGUGUAUGAGAAUCUUUUUAAAAAGCUAAAUAAGCCUCUCGCUGAUUUUAUGACCUGGGAUGUUUUUUCUCAAGGACCUUGUAGCCAUCUCUUGGAAAUGCAAACAUCGAGGAAGACAGAGCCCUUUUCCCUCUCAUACCUCAGGAUGUUGGGUUUCCUUGGUAGCCAUGAGCAGUAUGGAAGGGGCAGGUGGCUUGAAGACUUUGGAUGCCCUCAGGAAGACAGGCUCCCCCACACUGAAGUCCCCAGCCUUGACUCCCUGAAAUCUUCUCUCCACAAGGCUUUGUUAUGACCCAGGCAGAAGGCACUCACUGUCCUGUAGACAGGGAAAGGCACGACCCCAUGCACUGACCUUCUUCCUUGCAGCCAUUUGUUUGUUCUAAAAAGGAAGAAGAGGAGAAAGUAGAGGAGAAGCAGAAAGAGGGGGAGGGAGGAGGAAUGAAAGAAAGAAAGAAAAGAAAGCAUCAGUGAGUUUUGAAAUGGAUGGAGACCAAGCUGUAAACAGUGCUGCUUCUGGGUGCUUCAGAGGGGGAGAGAAGGGAGCACAGUCGGCCUCCUUGGCAUCCCUCUGUCCAGGCACUCUGCUGCCCACGGCCCUUGGACACGCUGUUACUUUGCCUGGAAUGCACUUCCUCCAGGUGUACACACAUCCCUUCCCUCACCUCCUUCAAGUCUUUGCUCAAAUAUGACCUUUCUUGAUCACCCUUUAAAAACUCACCCACCUCACACAGUCUCCCUCACUCUAUUGUCUUCAUAGGACAGAACAACAUCCAGCAGAGUUGGAACCUACUUCCCCAGUGAUUUCUUUCCUUUCACCUCUCAUUGGAAUACAAGUUCCACUUGGACACAGAUUUAUGUCUGUGUUACUCCCUACUGUAUCUCCAUCACCAAGAGUAAGACUUAGCACAGAGUAGCUACAUUAAUUCAUAUUUGUUGGAUGGAUAAAGACGUGUUAAACAUUUGUGAUGGCGAUAAAAGAGUAUGAGGUUUGAUGGUAUCUAAAGGCUCUUCUCACAUUAAAAAAAGCUAAUAACUAUAUUUCCAUGCACAUGAGUUAAUGCAGACUCACCGUUCAACACCUGCAGGCUCAGCAAACCUGAGGAAGACAAGGACAUGCAGAUCGAAUCACCAAAGACA